rnacentral:misc_RNA from 1 species
AUCUUAUUUUUUAUUCUUCCUCUUAUUUUUGUAACUUCAUUACUUUUUACACGUCUUAUUCAUCCUUUAUCUAUAUGUCUCACAUUAUUAAUACAAACUGUUAUGAUUUCGCUUGCGGCAGGGUUGAACAACAAUUCUUUUUGAUUUUCAUACAUUCUUUUUCUUAUUUUCUUAGGGGCUAUACUAGUGUUAUUUAUUUAUGUUGCCUCACUUGCUUCUAACGAACCAUUCAAAUUUUCAGCUACAGCUCUAAUAGUUAUUUCAAGAUUUUCUUUAUUUUUGACAAUUUUUAUAAUACUAAAAGACCCUCUUUAUAUUACUCCUGAUAUUUCUAUUAUUAGAUCAGCGAUUUCUUCAGAUAUGUUUUCACUUGAUACUACUUCUACUCUAGUAAGAACUAUUUAUAGACCUCCAGCAAUAUCUUUUACUUUAUUUAUAGUUCUUUACCUCCUAUUGACUCUUAUCGUUAUUGUAAAAAUUGUUAAUCUUUAUUCAAGACCACUUCGACUAUCCUAUUAA